rnacentral:rRNA from 1 species
AACACAUGCAAGUCGAGGGGCAGCAUGGUCUUAGCUUGCUAAGGCUGAUGGCGACCGGCGCACGGGUGAGUAACACGUAUCCAACCUGCCGUCUACUCUUGGCCAGCCUUCUGAAAGGAAGAUUAAUCCAGGAUGGCAUCAUGAGUUCACAUGUCCGCAUGAUUAAAGGUAUUUUCCGGUAGACGAUGGGGAUGCGUUCCAUUAGAUAGUAGGCGGGGUAACGGCCCACCUAGUCAACGAUGGAUAGGGGUUCUGAGAGGAAGGUCCCCCACAUUGGAACUGAGACACGGUCCAAACUCCUACGGGAGGCAGCAGUGAGGAAUAUUGGUCAAUGGGCGAUGGCCUGAACCAGCCAAGUAGCGUGAAGGAUGACUGCCCUAUGGGUUGUAAACUUCUUUUAUAAAGGAAUAAAGUCGGGUAUGCAUACCCGUUUGCAUGUACUUUAUGAAUAAGGAUCGGCUAACUCCGUGCCAGCAGCCGCGGUAAUACGGAGGAUCCGAGCGUUAUCCGGAUUUAUUGGGUUUAAAGGGAGCGUAGAUGGAUGUUUAAGUCAGUUGUGAAAGUUUGCGGCUCAACCGUAAAAUUGCAGUUGAUACUGGAUGUCUUGAGUGCAGUUGAGGCAGGCGGAAUUCGUGGUGUAGCGGUGAAAUGCUUAGAUAU